GUUGUCGUGGCCGAGUGGUUAUGGCAAUGGACUUGAAAUCCAUUAGGGUCUUCCUGCGCAGGUUUGAAUCUUGCCGACAACA